rnacentral:hammerhead_ribozyme from 1 species
AUCCAGAUGACGAGUUUCAAAUAGGACGAAACUUGCGUCUUGGAU